GAAGCGGCAACAGCUCAAAUUUGAAAUCUGGCGCAAGCCCGAGUUGUAAUUUGUAGAGGAUGCUUCUGGGUAGCGACCGAUCUAAGUUCCUUGGAACAGGACGUCAUAGAGGGUGAGAAUCCCGUAUGUGACCGGCCCGCACCCUUUACGUAGCUCCUUCGACGAGUCGAGUUGUUUGGGAAUGCAGCUCUAAAUGGGAGGUAAAUUUCUUCUAAAGCUAAAUACCGGCCAGAGACCGAUAGCGCACAAGUAGAGUGAUCGAAAGAUGAAAAGUACUUUGGAAAGAGAGUUAAAAAGCACGUGAAAUUGUUGAAAGGGAAGCGCCUGCAACCAGACUUCGCGGCAGUGUUCCGCCGGUCUUCUGACCGGUUCAUUCUCUGUCGCGAGGCCAUCAUCGUCUGGGCCCGCCGGAUAAGACCUGAGGAAUGUGGCUCCCCCUCGGGGGAGUGUUAUAGCCUCUGGUGAUGCGGCGUGGCUCGGGCGAGGUCCGCGCUUCGGCAAGGAUGAUGGCGUAAUGGUUGUCGGCGGCCCGUCUUGAAACACGGACCAAGGAGUCUAACAUCUAUGCGAGUGUUCGGGUGUCAAACCCCUACGCGUAAUGAAAGUGAACGGAGGUGGGAACCGCAAGGUGCACCAUCGACCGAUCCUGAUGUCCUCGGAUGGAUUUGAGUAAGAGCAUAGCUGUUGGGACCCGAAAGAUGGUGAACUAUGCCUGAAUAGGGUGAAGCCAGAGGAAACUCUGGUGGA
rnacentral:rRNA from 2 species